GCUUGGAGUUCAUGAGAGGAAGGAGAAUACUGGAGAUUAAUCCAGAUCACCCCAUUAUUAAAGACUUAAGUGCUGCGUGCAAGAAUGCACCUGAUAGCAGCGAUGCGAAGAGAGCUGUUGAUCUCCUAUACGACACAGCAUUGAUCUCCAGUGGAUUCUCGCCUGACAGCCCAGCUGAGUUGGGUAAUAAGAUAUAUGAGAUGAUGGCUAUGGCACUCGGCGGAAGAUGGGGCAGAUCUGAAGAUGAUGAAGCAGAGGCAGUUGGUGAUAAUGCUGCAGAAUCUGUUGCUAGUGCUGAUGAAAAUGCAGAGCCA
rnacentral:misc_RNA from 1 species